UUGAAUCGUUGGAUAAUAUUAUGAAGCAAAACUUAUGGUAAUAUGUUUACCCCAUUUCUUACUCUACCGUAUAUAACAAGAUUUGAUUCCUUACGAGAGCAAUUUUGGUCAUGCAUAUUGUGUGCUAGUUAAUUAACAUGUAACAUCAAAUAUGAAUGCAAGUAUUAUAUAUGUAAUGCACAUAUCCUAGAGCCUUAUUUUGGAAAGUGAUAAAUAUUAAG
rnacentral:lncRNA from 1 species